GUAUCUCCCUGGCAGGGGAGAUACCGUGAUCAAGAAGGCGGUUCACCCAGGGCGAGGCUCAGCCAUUGCACUUCGGCUGUGCUGACCCCUGCGAAUUCCCCAAAUGUGGGAAUCUCGACUGCAUAAUUUCUGGUAGUGGGGGACUGCGUUCGCGCUCUCCCCUG
ensembl:snRNA U1 U1 spliceosomal RNA